UAGGGAAUCUUCCACAAUGGGCGAAAGCCUGAUGGAGCAACGCCGCGUGAGUGAUGAAGGCCUUUGGGUUGUAAAACUCUGUCUUCUGUGACGAACAAGCCUGUGAGUAAAAUGCUCAGGCCCUGACGGUAACAGAGGAGGAAGCCACGGCUAACUACGUGCCAGCAGCCGCGGUAAUACGUAGGUGGCAAGCGUUGUCCGGAAUCACUGGGCGUAAAGCGCGCGCAGGCGGCGAUCUACGUCUGGGGUGAAAGCCCGGAGCUCAACUCCGGGACUGCCUUGGAUACGGGAUCGCUUGAGAAUUGGAGAGGCAAGGGGAAUUCCACGUGUAGCGGUGAAAUGCGUAGAUAUGUGGAGGAACACCUGUGGCGAAGGCGCCUUGCUGGCCAAUUUCUGACGCUGAGGCGCGAAAGCGUGGGGAGCAAACA
rnacentral:rRNA from 1 species